rnacentral:rRNA from 1 species
UACGUAGGGGGCAAGCGUUGUCCGGAUUUAUUGGGCGUAAAGAGCUCGUAGGCGGUUUGGUAAGUCUGGUGUGAAAUCUCCACGCUCAACGUGGAGGGGCCACCCGAUACUGCCAUGACUGGAGUCCGGUAGAGGAGUGUGGAAUUCCCGGUGUAGCGGUGAAAUGCGCAGAUAUCGGGAGGAACACCCGUAGCGAAGGCGGCACUCUGGGCCGGUACUGAACGCUGAGGAGCGAAAGCGUGGGGAGCAAACA